GAUGAAGAACGCAGCGAAAUGCGAUAAGUAGUGUGAAUUGCAGAAUUCAGUGAAUCAUCGAAUCUUUGAACGCACAUUGCGCCCUUUGGUAUUCCAAAGGACAUGCCUGUUCGAGCGUCAUUUGUACCCUCAAGCUUUGCUUGGUGUUGGGCGUCUUGUCUCUAGCUUUGCUGGAGACUCGCCUUAAAGUAAUUGGCAGCCGGCCUACUGGUUUCGGAGCGCAGCACAAGUCGCACUCUCUAUCAGCAAAGGUCUAGCAUCCAUUAAGCCUUUUUUUCAACUUUUGACCUCGGAUCAGGUAGGGAUACCCGCUGAACUUAAGCAUAUCAAUAAGCGGAGGA
rnacentral:misc_RNA from 1 species